ensembl:lncRNA
GGCCAAUCAGCGUAGGCGCCGGCUGCUGCAUUCAUAAGGAGACGCAGCCGGCGGCGCGGCGGGUUGCGGAGGGUGGGCCCCGGGUUGGUGGCAGCCAUUUCUCAUCUAACCCUAAUUGAGACAGGCGUAGGCGCUGUGCUUUUGGUUACCGCGCGCUGUUUUUCUCGCUGACUUUCAGCGGGCGGAAAAGCCUCGGCCUACCGCCAUCCACCAUCCAGUCUGCAACAAACAAAAAAUGUCAGCCGCUGGCUCGCUCACCUCUCCCGGGAACCUGCGGUGGUCCGCCCGCCCAGCCCCAGUGCCCCGCCUGAGGCCGCGGUCGGCCCGGUGCUUCUCCGGAGGUGUCCAUUGCCGCCGUGAAGAGUUGGGCUCUGUCAGCCGCGGGUCGCUCGGUGGGCCGAGGCAUGGCUGUAACCGCAGGGAAAGGAACGGAGUGGGGUCCCCGCGCGCGGUGCGCUUCCCUGAGCUGUGGGACUUGCACCCGGGACUCGGCUCAGACAUCUGCAGUCUGAGGGACUGCGGGGGGGCGGGAAGUAGGAGGGUAGCGGGGGGGUCUGUUUUCUCCCUAAAUGGAGGGGGUCCGUCUGUGUGCGUUUGUCUUCCCUGCCAUCAGUGGACUUCGAAUCUUGCAGAUUGGACCGGAGAGCGUGCAAAUAAACUGUCAGAAGGACAAGUGGAGGCAGCUCAAAAAUCCGUCCAAAUGAAUGGGCAAUGAGCCGAGUAGUCGGCUAUCUUACAGGGUUUUUUUCCUCCUCCCCUCCUUUAGUUUUAUUGCCCUUUAUCAGUGUAUCACAACCUAGUUCCUGCUCUGCAGAUUUUGUCCAGGUUUUUUGCCUCUGCAGAACUUGAUCCCCAUCAGUCCUGGGAUGUGGAACAGCGGUGAUUUUUUGUAUGUGUGUGUGAGAUCAUUAAUUCGUAUUUGUUAACAGGAAGAUCUAGUGUGUUCUCAAAACAGUGGAAGUCAUAUUCUUUAAUGGUCGUUGCUUUUCAUCUUUGUCUCCAUCUUUGGAUGCAAAGUAUUAAGGGACGAUAGGAAUUUAAGAAGAAAUCUAUGCCCCCACGCGCAAGAAUUAGGUUUCUUUGCCAAAAGGGAAGGAAAAAAAAAGAAAACGGCCCAUUAGGAAACAACCAACAAGUCAUCCUGCCCUCUUGUCAUAAAACCUAACUUUCAAGUUAUGUGAGGAUUCAUCCGAAGUCAAUGAAAACAUUUUAAUUGGCGAGUAAUUGGUUUAGUGUUGUAGUGGUUUCUGCUGUCCAGGAGAAGUGCAUCAGCCAUAUGUAUAAAUCGGUCCCACUGUCUUGAACCUCCCCCAGCGCCCCACAUCCCACCCAUCU